CAGCUGGACACUUUCCACUUCUCAGAUCGCAGCUGGAUUUGUGAGAAGCAAUAUCAGGAAUGUGCACCCAUGAGCUUCUUGAGCAUCAAUAUCUGGUAACGAAGUUAAUUUGGUUCUUAAAGCCAGAGAAGACAUUCAACUUUUCAGGACAUGGUCUAUUGGUAUCCCAUAACACAGCACCUACAUGUUCCCAUGACAUACACAGAUGUUUCCUUCCAGUUUCAUUUCUGCCAAAAGGCUUGAGGGGAAAUCUGAGAAGGGGGAGGAAAGCCUGAUGGAUGAUUGGUGGCAGCAGACCAGCUCCUGCACAGUUUUUUGUCAGUCAGCAUCUCUGCAAGGAGACAACAUCCCUGUAUUUGUCGGUUCCUCAGUUAUGCUAUUGCACUCAUUCCCACCCAGCUCACCUGAAGCACGUAUCACCUUGGUGUGUACACUGCAGUCAAAAAAGCUGUAUUUUCCAGCCUGUUUUUUCAGGUGUUUGAGGUAAGUGAGCUCCCACUGACUGCAUCAGGUGAGGAAGAACUGACACCAGCAGAUCGCAGCCCAGGGUGUGACACUAUGGGUAUUUGUCAGCAGUAGGGCUGUAAGAGACUUCCUGACUCCAUCCAUUCCAUCUUGCAGCAUCUGAAAGCCUCAGGACUUGACAACUGUUUGCAUGGUUACAGCGGACUGUUUAGAAAGAAAAUCUCCUGCUUGCAGCAGGGUAUUGCCAAAAUAGAACUUGGGGCUUAUGGCUGCUGCAGCAGUGGCCUCUUUAGGCUGAGACUACAAGCAAGUGUGAGCACGUGGUCUUAGUUUGCAGAGAAAUGCUCAGUAUAUUGUUAGUAAGAUACAGUCCCAUCGUAUCUAUUUAUAUCUCUGUGAAUGGAUCCUUACCCCAUGAAUACUUUUUUCCAGUGUUU
rnacentral:lncRNA from 1 species